AUUGAACGCUGGCGGCAGGCCUAACACAUGCAAGUCGAGCGGUAGAGAGAAGCUUGCUUCUCUUGAGAGCGGCGGACGGGUGAGUAAUGCCUAGGAAUCUGCCUGGUAGUGGGGGAUAACGUUCGGAAACGGACGCUAAUACCGCAUACGUCCUACGGGAGAAAGCAGGGGACCUUCGGGCCUUGCGCUAUCAGAUGAGCCUAGGUCGGAUUAGCUAGUUGGUGAGGUAAUGGCUCACCAAGGCGACGAUCCGUAACUGGUCUGAGAGGAUGAUCAGUCACACUGGAACUGAGACACGGUCCAGACUCCUACGGGAGGCAGCAGUGGGGAAUAUUGGACAAUGGGCGAAAGCCUGAUCCAGCCAUGCCGCGUGUGUGAAGAAGGUCUUCGGAUUGUAAAGCACUUUAAGUUGGGAGGAAGGGUUGUAGAUUAAUACUCUGCAAUUUUGACGUUACCGACAGAAUAAGCACCGGCUAACUCUGUGCCAGCAGCCGCCGUAAAAC
rnacentral:rRNA from 1 species